rnacentral:tRNA from 1 species
GGGGUUGUGGCUCAGAGGUAGAGUGCUUGCCUGCCACACAUGAGGUACUGGGUUCAAUCCUCAGCACCA